rnacentral:rRNA from 1 species
CCCGAGUAAACGGCGGCCGUAACUAUAACGGUCCUAAGGUAGCGAAAUUCCUUGUCGGUUAAAUACCGACCUGCAUGAAUGGCGUAACGAGAUGGGAGCUGUCUCAACCAGAGAUUCAGUGAAAUUGUAGUGGAGGUGAAAAUUCCUCCUACCCGCGGCAAGACGGAAAGACCCCG